GCGCCCGCCCGCGCCGCUCGGAGGGAGGAAGCGCGGUGAGUGCCGUGGCGACUGCCGGGGCCGAUAACCUUCUGGGAGCCGGCCGCCAGCGGGAUGCAAGGACCUCAGCUAGUGUGCCACGCGGGCCAGCUAUGCAGGGGACAGGGCCUGGGAAACUUCGACCUGGGUUCGUUUCCGAGUCUGCCGCGGGACCUCAGCGUCCUCGCCUGUUUAAUGGGACACUGCCGUGAAAACGGACAUGCAACGCCGGGACCUUCCGAGGCCUGCAGGCCCGAGCACGACUAGUCGAGAAAUUCCUUGGGCGGCGAAAGGGCGCCCUCGUAGCGCUCUCGCCUGUCCUGCCUGCGCGCCCACCUGGAGGUGGCCUCUGGGGCUUCCGGUCUCCGGAGAACACGCGGGAAUGAGAGGGUCUGAGCGCGCCGCGCGCUUCCGGCAGGGCCGGGCGCUGUGCUGGGUGAGAGGAGACCGAACUUCAAAACCGGCGGGCAGAGGGGCGAGGGGCUCCGCCAAGCCCCGGGGCCCUCACCUUCCGGCGGGCCGGAGCAGCGCCAGGCUGCGAGGGAGGUGCCGGGACCCGCUGAGAACUUCCGGGCCCUGCGGGCCUGGUGGCGGGGACUCCAGCCACCGUGCAGAGGGCCUCAGGGCGGUUUAGACUGUCCUCCUGGAUCCGGCCAGGCCUGAGACUUCUUCACUGUGGGGCCGACUUCCUCCUUUAGGGCCUCCGGCAAGACCCUGUGCCACGUUUCGCCGCCCUUUUCGUCCUGUGUUGCCAGGUUCUGCAGUACAGCCACUGAUUGCAGUGAAUGCGUGUCCCUGGAGGGACCUUACCUGGGGAGGAUGCCAGCGUCUGUCACUGGUGAAACUUGGUGAUACAGAAGCCAGGGGAUUCCACUGCUCCUGUGUGUUUCAGUUUAUCCUUAGGAUCUAAAUUUAACCAUCAUUAAGCAGAGACCCAAACCCCAGGGCUGCUGACUCCUAGUCCAGUGCUCGUGAUGGCUGGUGGGCCCUGAACUAGGGGUCUGGAGGCCUAGGUUUGAAUAUCACCAUCCUUCGACCCAGCCAGGUGGCUCAUGGGAUGCGUUGGGGAGACUGUGAAAGGUCGGAGCACAACAAGACACUGAGUCAGGAAAAAAAUAUUACAUAAAAACUGAUAAGACAAG